GAGGGGUUAGUUAAGCAUAACGCUGCCUUGUCAAGGCUGAAUCACUAAUCACCAACUAGUACUCCUCU
rnacentral:tRNA from 1 species